GGCACCGUGGCUCAAAGGAGUAGGGCGCCAGCCUCAUAUGCCGGAGGAGGCAGGUUCAAACCCAGCCCCGGCCA
rnacentral:tRNA from 1 species